rnacentral:rRNA from 1 species
UACGUAGGGGGCAAGCGUUGUCCGGAAUCAUUGGGCGUAAAGCGCGUGUAGGCGGCCAGAUAAGUCCGCUGUGAAAUCUCGAGGCUCAACUUCGAGCUGUCGGUGGAAACUGUCUGGCUAGAGUCCGGAAGAGGAGAAUGGAAUUCCUGGUGUAGCGGUGAAAUGCGCAGAUAUCAGGAAGAACACCCGUGGCGAAGGCGGGUCUCUGGGCAGUAACUGACGCUGAGGAGCGAAAGCGUGGGGAGCGAACAGG